rnacentral:lncRNA from 1 species
ACACAUUUAAAAAGUAUGUUUAUGCUGAUGCAGAAGUCCAACUCAGAUGAAAUAUUUGAUAAUUCAAAGUGAAGUGUUAAGGGCUAGACUGAGCAUGGGCUAAGUAUUCCAUACCUGCUACACAACCUCCAUCAUUGUCGUUACACCACCGUCCUAAAAUACACAACUACCAUGUAUUGAAAGAUGGACAACACAUUAAAACCCUUACAAGCAUAUCCUUUCCAUUCUCCUUAAUCAGGAGGCAGGGCUGCUGGUGAUAAUAUUUUUGGCCAAGGACAAAAGAAAUUGAAUAUGGAGAGAGACAAAAUCGAUGAUGGUAGAGAGAGAAUUUGUGCGAUGGUCAAGGUAUGGAAGUCGAUGGCGCCGGUGAUUAUGUUUGGUGACAACAUUGCCGAGAGGAGGGAGGGCGAUGGUCAACUCGAGUUUUUCAUCCCGAGUGGUCAAAUGGAUUUUGAUUUGGUAUGUCGUUGUCAAUUUUUCACUAGAUAAUUAAGUCAUUCAUGGUGAACUGCACAUAAGAGCCUAUCCCCCUAAACGACUAGUUUGGUUUUAAAAGACUCCAGAUUUUGUUAUCAAAAUGUUGCAGUUCCUUUGCUAUGCGACACUGCAGCAAGAAGUAGGAAACUUUUUGUGUUCAAGUUUGGAUUGUUAGUACACUUCUUGUUGAUUUCUGUAUUUCUUAUAUGAAUUACUUGGUUUAUAAUUUUUAUUAUGGAUCUACAGUACUUGAUUAUCACUGUGUUCUAAAAGUUGUCAUUCGUAGUGAUCGCUUGUAAAUAAUAGACUUUAUUGUUUUAUGUUUAUGAUACUAGAGACCAAAAAAAGAUGAGCUUAUCCCCAAGAAUUACUAUGAAUUUAAUGGAGUUGCAAUCGAUGCAAUAUUGUUUUAUUGAAUGAUUUUCUUGUCUUGAAGGUUCUAUAUCCACAAGAUGAUUUCCCCAAUGGAAGUGUCACUGUAGAGGUUUUUCCAGCGAGUGAUAGACAGAAGAUAAGGUGUUGCCUUCACAUUGUAGGUGUCUGAAAGUUGAGUGGAAGGUGGAGUCAAAAAGUCAAAAAAGAAAAUCUUUUAAUGUGUCAAAUUUGAGCUGGAGCUCUAGUAGUUUUUAGGCGUAUAAGUGGUCCAAUAAUUUAUCAACAAGG